GGGGUUGUGGCUCAGCGGUAGAGCGCUGGUCUCUAACAUCAAGGUCCUGGGUUCGAUCCUUAGCACCA
rnacentral:tRNA from 1 species